UGUACUCAGGUGAAUAAUAUGUUUGCGAUGUUACUCUGAGUGGCCGGGCAUAUUUUUCAAGCUCGCCCGGUGUGGAUAUGCACUCAGAGUAACAUCGCAAACAUAUUAUUCACCUGAGUACA